rnacentral:lncRNA from 1 species
CCACUCUGGCCGCGGUCCUAGCGUAACCGGAGUAGGACCGCAGCAGGCCGCGUAACCUUUUGAAAAGGCACCUUUUCCAGACACCUCUUCUGAUAAUUACCUAUAAAAUCUGCGGCAUGGCUCCAUUUUUAAUACACGAAAAAUACUAAAGAACUUCCUUCUUUCUGAAAAUACUGCAUUCUAAUUCGCAGUCUCUUUCUCUCAAAUUCGUAAGUGUGAUUUUGUUCUGGUCUUUGAGUUCGUUGGUAUCCUACAGUUUGUAUUGCCACUGUUACAGGAAGGUUUAUUCCGUUUCAUCCUUGGAGGAUUUAAUCCAUUACCUGGCAACGUGUGAUGAGGUUAAAAUUCCUUAAGAGCACACAAGAAAAUUGUGGACUCGGAAUAUCUCGUAUUCUUUAUUGUUUUUCCAGUUUUUCUUUAUUCUUCUAACAGUUUUCUGAUUUUGCGUUUUAACUCAGUAACACUCACAAG